GUUCCAUUUUCAAAUGAAAUAACAGCUUUAAAUAAAAGCCGAAAACAAAUUUCGUGGGUUCACUCUCGUUAACAAAAUGACCUUUUCUCUGAGCUUCUUCCAUGGAAGAGCUAACAAAAUCCAAUUCCCACUCUCUCUGCUUCCUUGGUUAACAAGGAACAUCGGCUGCGCUCAAGGAAGGGGCUACAGUAGCUCUCCUCCUCUAGCCAGGAAAGCUUUAAACAAGGAACAAAAUGGAACUACUUCUUUGCCUCUGAGGGCAACUGCUAAGAGGUUUCAAUUUUGCAACCAACCACACAGGAGCCUUCCUUCUGAUGUAUAUAAUGUGUUCAAUUUGCCUGUGGAAGAAGAGAUUGAGGGAGAUUUAACGGCUGUGGCUGAUGAAUUCGUCCAAGAUCCCGAAGAUAGUAGUAGAAGAUGCUGUGGGAUGCAAGAUGCGCAGAAUUCUGCAAUCAAGUUGCUUGCGUCUAGGGCAUUUACUUCUAUGGAACUGAAGAAGAAACUGGAAGGGAAGAAAUUUCACCAUGAUACUAUAGAUGCAGUCAUAACAGACUUCCAGAGUAGGGGUCUGAUUAAUGAUUACUUAUAUGCGGAAGCAUAUACCCGAUCGAGAUGGUCUUCCUCAAGCUGGGGCCCUCGUCGAAUCAGACAAGAACUAUUCAAGAAGGGGAUAAGUGAAGCAGAUGCAGAAAAAGCGAUAAAACUAGUGUUUGUAAAUAGUGAAGGUGACGAAUAUGAGGAUUCAGGAAUAGCCAUGUCAAAGUCUUCUAUUGACCACUUAUAUGCUCAGGCCUCAAAGCAAUGGCAGAGAAGUCAAGGCGCAGCACAAGAGACACGGAAAUCGCGAAUAGUCCGCUGGCUUCAGUAUCGUGGCUUCAAUUGGAGUGUGAUCAAAUAUGUAUUAAAGAAGUUGGAAUCCGGGGGUCCUUCCUAAAGCCAUCGCCAUUGUGCUGCUUCCUGUAUCGUGUGUCAUAGAUGACGACUCUGCCUUGAGCAAUUCUUGACAGGUGAUAGAUGACGACUCUGCCUUGAACCAUUCUUGACAAGCCAAGCUGUUCAAGCUUGGAUUGACCAGAUGAAGUUAAGUACAAGCAAUAAAUGACGAAAGUAACAAAUUGGAGGUGGCUGCCGGAGUGGUUGCUUUCCAAACACCAAAUUGCAGUGCGUUGAUACAUGUAAAGAAUAGAAAUGGGCACAUCUCAAUCUGAUUCUUGAAUUGUGGAUGGUUGUCAUGCCCUGGGUUCAAUGAAAUGUAGUAUGUGUGUUGUAGGUGUUUGAAAUUUUGGAUGCAGGAACCGAGUAAGGGUGUUUCGAUGUUUCUGGUUGAACAAGAUGCUUAUAACAGAGGGAGGGGCCCUGAAAGCAAUGGAUUGUGCCGACGCUCUACAAAAGUAGUUGAGGCUUUAGAAGCAAGCAUUGUGUAGCAAGGAAACCAUGAGCAAGAUGUGUAUAAUUUCAUUGCAAUAUUAAAUA